CCUGUGUCAUAACUGCCACAGCGGCUCUAGCCAAGCUCAGCCACAAACUGCUAUUGGGAAAGUAAGGGCUCUGCAGGCUUCUAGGAAGAUGAGGAGGAAGCAUCCAAGAAUUUUGGGAAGUCUACGCAAUUCUCUUCCCACUCAGACUUCUCAGUCCUCUGCCUAUCCAACCAGCAUUCACCUCUUCCCAUCUCAGCCACCCACCUGCCUGCCUGCCUUUAAUGCAAAUCCCCUGUCUGUUUUCUACCCGACCUCUUUCCCUCCUCUAAAGAACACUUCCUACUUCCCUACCCUAAUGAUCACCAUGCCCAGCUCCUCCUGUGUAGAAAAACUUGCCGCUAAUUGCCCUGCUGUCUUCCAACCCUCUUCCUCUUUGUCCACCCUCACGACUACCUCUCCUGGGAGAGCGCCACUGGAGAGCUGCCUAGUCUCUCUUUCCCAUCCGGAAGCUGACUGCCUUCAGUCAGGCUGGCACAUUAUUCGGGAGUUGAGGAAGCAUUCUCCAGACCUAGAGCCUGGAAUUGGAGGAAACGGAUGGGACCCCACACACGUGGUCCAAGGGAAGCAGCCCCCAGAGACACAGACUGGAAACCAGGAAGCGGAAGAGAGUCAAGGCCUGGUUAAGUUUGGCGCCUUCACUCAGUAGGCACUGGCAA